ACAUAAGUAACGAUAAAGCGGGUGAAAAGCCCGCUCGCCGGAAGACCAAGGGUUCCUGUCCAACGUUAAUCGGGGCAGGGUGAGUCGACCCCUAAGGCGAGGCCGAAAGGCGUAGUCGAUGGGAAACAGGUUAAUAUUCCUGUACUUGGUGUUACUGCGAAGGGGGGACGGAGAAGGCUAUGUUGGCCGGGCGACGGUUGUCCCGGUUUAAGCGUGUAGG
rnacentral:rRNA from 4 species